rnacentral:rRNA from 1 species
UACGUAGGGGGCGAGCGUUGUCCGGAAUCAUUGGGCGUAAAGCGCGUGUAGGCGGCCCGGUAAGUCCGCUGUGAAAGUCCAGGGCUCAACCCUGGGAUGCCGGUGGAUACUGUCGGGCUCGAGUCCGGAAGAGGCGAGUGGAAUUCCCGGUGUAGCGGUGAAAUGCGCAGAUAUCGGGAGGAACACCAAUGGCGAAGGCAGCUCGCUGGGACGUUACUGACGCUGAGACGCGAAAGCGUCGGGGAGCAAACAGG